rnacentral:rRNA from 1 species
UACAGAGGUCUCAAGCGUUGUUCGGAUUCAUUGGGCGUAAAGGGUGCGUAGGCGGCGGUGUAAGUCAGGUGUGAAAUCUCGGGGCUCAACCCCGGAACUGCACUUGAUACUGCCUUGCUCGAGUACUGGAGAGGAGAUUGGAAUUUACGGUGUAGCAGUGAAAUGCGUAGAUAUCGUAAGGAAGACCAGUGGCGAAGGCGAAUCUCUGGACAGUUACUGACGCUGAGGCACGAAGGCCAGGGGAGCAAACGGG